CUUCGUCGGAAUCAAGUGAGGACGUUUCCGGUUACGAUCAGGCCAACAUUUGAAUCAUGAGCAUAGGUGCCUAGAUUCCCAAGACAACCGUGCUUACGGGACCACCCGGAGGAGUUAAACGCUGAUGGCGGAUUGCCUAUCAAACGUACUAUUUUUGCCGUAUCCAGAAGAGAGUUUCCGGAGAGUUUCGUAGCGUGGGCGGUCAUGUUCGUGAUGGCCCGGAAGCCACUGCGUCCUGCGGACGAUACCGUUGAUCGGAAGAGUAACGGAGAGAGCUGCUGGAUUGAAUUCAACAUCAAUUUGUGGUUCUGGCGGCCACCUGCCGGGUGAAAUUCUGGACAAGAUGCUUCUGCGUUCACAGAGCGGACACUUCGCUUAGUGCCUUCGUCGCGUGCGUUAUUGGGAUUGAUCUGGUGCCCUGCACCGGCGGACUUUGGAUCGAGCAGUUUUUGAAUUCGUUGAAAAUAUUACCAGAUAAAAAAAAGUUACGGAAGAUGUCGACGUAGUCACCAUCCGCAUGCCAUCGCCGGAAUGGAAAAGAAGCGUACUAGGGCCGGCCGUGAAACCCAUGUUUGCCUAACAAGAAGCUGGACACGCCAUUUCCGGUUUACCGCACCCGGUUUACCUUGCUAAGGUCUUAAUCUUCCUCAGCGGCAAGGGCUAAGCGCAGUGCUUUGCCAAUAAAAACACA